rnacentral:siRNA from 1 species
CUCCCGGAUCCACAGCUGUGCCCG